ACGAGCUGGCCUCCGUCGCGGCCUGCCUGGGCCAUACCAGGACGGCGGCUUCGAUCCGACGCCGCGCGGUACGCGUCGGGGGACGGCCGCGGCAGCGGUGACCUUUCAGCGGAUAGCGGCGCGAGUCUUCGAUCAGGGCCAAUACCAAGGGUUCGUCUUUGAAGACCAGCUGGGCUGGCAUUUCGCUAACGCACUUUUUGCGUGGGAGGACAUCCCGGGCUUGUGGGUCUUCGGCGAUGAGGCGUUCGCGACAUGGACCGCGACGCUCACGCGAGAAAGGU
rnacentral:misc_RNA from 1 species